AGAGUUUGAUCAUGGCUCAGAACGAACGCUGGCGGCAGGCUUAACACAUGCAAGUCGAACGCCCUAGCAAUAGGGAGUGGCAGACGGGUGAGUAACGCGUGGGAACCUUCCCAGUGGUACGGAAUAGCCCAGGGAAACUUGGAGUAAUACCGUAUAAUACCCGAAAGGGGAAAGAUUUAUCGCCAUUGGAUGGGCCCGCGUCGGAUUAGCUAGUUGGUGAGGUAAUGGCUCACCAAGGCGACGAUCCGUAGCUGGUCUGAGAGGAUGAUCAGCCACACUGGGACUGAGACACGGCCCAGACUCCUACGGGAGGCAGCAGUGGGGAAUAUUGGGCAAUGGGCGCAAGCCUGACCCAGCCAUGCCGCGUGAGUGACGAAGGCCUUAGGGUUGUAAAGCUCUUUUGGCGGGGACGAUAAUGACGGUACCCGCAGAAUAAGCCCCGGCUAACUUCGUGCCAGCAGCCGCGGUAAUAC
rnacentral:rRNA from 1 species